GAGCCGGGAAGAAAUGGGAAAGAAACAAGACAUGUCAACGUUGAUUCAAAUGGUUAAAGAACUGCAAAGGCAGAAUGCUGUUUUGCAAAAUAAAAUGUUAGAGAUUCAAAACGAGUUUACAAUGGAAAGGAAUCGUAGAUCAAUCGAGUAUGUCCGAAUGAGUCAAGAUAAACAAAACGCUACUACUCAAUUUCGAGGUUACAGUGAGAGCAUAGAAACCUUUAAUCCAGAGGAGACAAGAGCUGAGUCUAAGCGAAAGGCUUGGGGAAAAGUACAAAACGAUCAUAAGAAAUUCAGUGUACCGAAUUCAAGUGACUAUGGCGUCGGUGAUGAUUUGAAGUAUUCUGAAGGAGAUUUUGACGAAGAGAGAGAAGCAAGGGAGAACGAUCCCGAAUUAAAUGAAUUAAAGAGACAGCAUAGUCAAAUGGAUACAUACGAAGAUAAAGAUGGGGUAGUCGUUCAUGAUGAUGUAACAAUUUCUGUGAAUGAAAAUGAGGCUGAAGACAGUAGACUAUUUAAUAACAAUGAUAAACUGUCAAUGAUUCUUCGUACUGAUUCCAGUGUUGUCUGAAAUGCUGAAACAGCAAAUCCUUAGGAACUCAUUCCACCGAGUUAACCACAAUUUGCUACUAUGGAAACUGUCGUCAAUAUGGUUAGAGAUUUCCCCAAAGUGGUAGCGCAUGAUUUUAACAAGAUGUGUCAUUUUGACAGGAAGAAAAUGUUUUUAAUGUGUUAUAAUUCUAGAAUACAAACCUUCUUACCAAAGGUUCCAAAACCAAUUACUAUCGAGACGAUUUAGGUCGAGCGAAACACGCUCUCAUUGUCAGCGUUAUUUUCGAGGUUCUUGUCUGUGUGUUCAAGAUCCGCCCUGGUAUUUUUGCGUUGGAUGAAGAACUCUUUAUUAAAAUGUUUAAAACAAAAAGAUUAAAUAGAAAUUCCAAAGCAA